CAUACAAAUAUAUAGGGAACAUCUUUAAAAAUCUUCUUCUCAAGAACCACUGAGCCAGAAAAGCUGAGAUUUAUAUGAAAGCUUCCUUAUAUAAUGCAGAUUCUAAAUUGUUAAAACCAUGGCCCCCUGGGGUACGAUGGGGCCACAAUAGGGGAUCAAAGUUUUACAUACAAAUAUAUAGGAAAAAUCUUUAAAAAUCUUCUUCUCAAGAAACAUUGGGCCAAAGAAGUUCACAUUUACAUGAAAGCUUUCUGACAUAGUGUAGAUUCAAGUUUGCAAAAACCAUGGCCUCCAGGAGUAGGUUUGGGGCCAUAAUAGGGACUACGGUUUUACAUGCAAAUAGAUCUGGAAAAUCUUCUGAUAUGGACCAAGGUGACUCAGGUGAGCGAUGUGGCCCAUGAGCCUCUUGUUAUCAGUAUAUGUAUUGUUUGUAGGGGUAUGUAAUCAUCUCACCAGAUGAACCGUUGCGCCGGCUAGAUUUACCUGUCAUGCUUUUACAUUAAAUUGCUCACCUGUGUACAGAUAACAGGUAAAUUACCCGUGUUUAACGUCCAGGAGAAGCUUGCGUAAUGUGCUCUCUGAAUGAGUUGAGUGGAAUAAUGAACCUCCAGAAACCUAUGUACAUGUGUAUAUUAUAAUUAAACUUCUGUUGCACUCGCGCAAGCGAGAUUACUCUACA